AGCCUGACGCAGCGACGCCGCGUGGGGGAUGAAGGCCUUCGGGUCGUAAACCCCUUUUCUGGGGGACGAGGAAGGACGGUACCCCAGGAAUAAGCCCCGGCUAACUACGUGCCAGCAGCCGCGGUAAAACGUAGGGGGCGAGCGUUAUCCGGAUUCACUGGGCGUAAAGCGCGCGCAGGCGGCUUCCUAAGUCGGGCGUGAAAUCUCCCGGCUCAACCGGGAGGGGCCGCUCGAUACUGGGAGGCUUGAGGGCAGGAGAGGGAGGUGGAAUUCCCGGUGUAGCGGUGGAAUGCGUAGAUAUCGGGAGGAACACCAGUGGCGAAGGCGGCCUCCUGGCCUGUCCCUGACGCUCAGGCGCGAAAGCUAGGGGAGCGAACGGGAUUAGAUACCCCGGUAGUCCUAGCCGUAAACGAUGGGCGCUAGGUGUUGGUGGGGUUAAACCCAUCAGUGCCGAAGCUAACGCGUUAAGCGCCCCGCCUGGGGACUACGGCCGCAAGGCUAAAACUCAAAGGAAAUUGACGG
rnacentral:rRNA from 1 species